rnacentral:rRNA from 1 species
GCUAUACAUGCAGUCGAGCGGACAGAAGGGAGCUUGCUCCCGGAUGUUAGCGGCGGACGGGUGAGUAACACGUGGGUAACCUGCCUGUAAGACUGGGAUAACUCCGGGAAACCGGAGCUAAUACCGGAUAGUUCCUUGAACCGCAUGGUUCAAGGAUGAAAGACGGUUUCGGCUGUCACUUACAGAUGGACCCGCGGCGCAUUAGCUAGUUGGUGAGGUAACGGCUCACCAAGGCGACGAUGCGUAGCCGACCUGAGAGGGUGAUCGGCCACACUGGGACUGAGACACGGCCCAGACUCCUACGGGAGGCAGCAGUAGGGAAUCUUCCGCAAUGGACGAAAGUCUGACGGAGCAACGCCGCGUGAGUGAUGAAGGUUUUCGGAUCGUAAAGCUCUGUUGUUAGGGAAGAACAAGUGCAAGAGUAACUGCUUGCACCUUGACGGUACCUAACCAGAAAGCCACGGCUAACUACGUGCCAGCAGCCGCGGUAAUACGUAGGUGGCAAGCGUUGUCCGGAAUUAUUGGGCGUAAAGGGCUCGCAGGCGGUUUCUUAAGUCUGAUGUGAAAGCCCCCGGCUCAACCGGGGAGGGUCAUUGGAAACUGGGAAACUUGAGUGCAGAAGAGGAGAGUGGAAUUCCACGUGUAGCGGUG